GUGUCGGUAGUUUAGCGGUAGAAUGCUUGGGCCUUUCAGUUAUUCUGAAUAACACUUUUGCGGCCUGCUCCGGCGGGACCGUCCCCUUCCGGCUCAAGAGACUCGUGUUCAAAUCACGACCGACACC